AGUGAACGCUGGCGGUAGGCCUAACACAUGCAAGUCGAACGGCAGCACAGUAAGAGCUUGCUCUUACGGGUGGCGAGUGGCGGACGGGUGAGGAAUACAUCGGAAUCUACUUUUUCGUGGGGGAUAACGUAGGGAAACUUACGCUAAUACCGCAUACGACCUACGGGUGAAAGCAGGGGAUCUUCGGACCUUGCGCGAUUGAAUGAGCUGAUGUCGGAUUAGCUAGUUGGCGGGGUAAAGGCCCACCAAGGCGACGAUCCGUAGCUGGUCUGAGAGGAUGAUCAGCCACACUGGAACUGAGACACGGUCCAGACUCCUACGGGAGGCAGCAGUGGGGAAUAUUGGACAAUGGGCGCAAGCCUGAUCCAGCCAUACCGCGUGGGUGAAGAAGGCCUUCGGGUUUUAAAGCCCUUUUGUUGGGAAAGAAAAGCAGCAGGUUAAUACCCCGCUGUUCUGGCGGUACCCAAAGAAUAAGCACCGGCUAACUUCGUG
rnacentral:rRNA from 1 species